UAGGCUGCAACUCGCCUACAUGAAGUCGGAAUUGCUAGUAAUCGCGGAUCAGCAUGCCGCGGUGAAUACGUUCCCGGGCCUUGUACACACCGCCCGUCACACCAUGGAAGUUGGUAACACCCGAAGCCUGUAGCCUAACCGCAAGGAGGGCGCAGUCGAAGGUGGGAUUGAUGACUGGGGUGAAGUCGUAACAAGGUACC
rnacentral:rRNA from 1 species